GUGUCCCUACGGGCGCAGCAGUGGGGGAUAUUGCACAAUGGGGGGAACCCUGAUGCAGCGACGCCGCGUGAGUGAAGAAGUAAUUCGUUAUGUAAAGCUCCAUCAGCAGGGAAGAAUAAAUGACGGUACCUGAGUAAGAAGCCCCGGCUAACUACGUGCCAGCAGCCGCGGUAAUACGUAGGGGGCAAGCGUUAUCCGGAUUUACUGGGUGUAAAGGGAGCGUAGACGGCGAUGCAAGCCAGAUGUGAAAGCCCGCGGCUCAACUGCGGUAGUGCAUUUGGAACUGUAUGGCUGGAGUGCAGGAG
rnacentral:rRNA from 1 species